UUGUAUGUGCUGAAAAAGCAUAGAGAAAGAAAGACUAUGUCUACUUUGUAGAGCUUAACCUCUAAAUGUAAAAGGCAGAUGAAAGUUGAAAUGGGAAAUGGAGGAACUGGCAGAGCAGAUUAGUGACACUGUCAGAGUAUGUUGUGGUUUAACACAGCAAUUAAGCACCUUGCAGCUGCUCACUUGCACCCCUGCAGCAGGAUGGGAGGAAGAACUGGAAAAGUGAUAAAGCUCAAGGGUUGAGAUAAAGACAGUUCAACGGGGAAAGCAAGAGCCGUGUACACAAGCAAAGAGAAACGAGGAAUUAAUUCACCGCUUUCCAUGGUCAGGCAGGUAUUUGGCAACCUGUAGAACAGCAAAGCUCCACCACAUGUAACAGUUACUUGGGAAGAGAAACACCAUCACUCCAAAAGUCCCCACUCUUCCAUCUUCUUCUCCCACCUUUUACUGCUGAACAUGACACCAGAUGGUCUGGGUCAUAUGGGAUAUCCCUUUGAUCAGUCAGAGUCAGCUGUCUCGGCUGUGUCCCCUCCCAGCUUCUUGUGCACCCCCAAGUCUCCUCACUGCUGAGGCAGCAUGAGAAGCAGAAAAGACCUUGAGGCUGUGGCAAGCAUUGCUCAGCAACAACUAAAACAUCCCUGUGGGUUAUCAACACUGUUUUCAGCACAAAUCGCAAACAUAGCCCCAUACCAGCUACUCCGAAGAAAAUCAACUCCACCCCUGACAAAACCAGAACAGAGUAAAACUGAGAUUACUUGAAUCCCAGUCCAGUAGUCUGUCACCUAAGACCUGAAGCUGUACUGCCUAACAGCAGGCACCAAAAUAAGCUUUGUCACAUCAGAUUCUCCUGCUAUUUUCAGAGCGAAAUAGGCACACUCAGAGGGAGAUUUGGCCUCCAGUAUGUGACAACCCUCUCAAGGCAGCCAUCACUCUUUGUUGUGCAAAGUGGGAGCUAUCUCCCAAGUCUGCCCUUGGGAAUACCAGUUGGGCAUACCUCAAGACUAGUAUAUCCUUAAAACCUGACCAGCCCUUACACAAAAACACAGAAAAACACAGUUACAAACUUGAGAAGUAUGAGUAUGUUGAUAAUUAGCCAAGCAAUAGUUUAACAUAUUCUUCACUCAUUGUUACUUAUGUUUUCUCACAACUGCUACAAACUGAAGGCAGAAAAACGAAGUCUCUCCCACUCUGGAAGAUUUAUUGAGCUCUUAAAGGAAGAAUGGAUGAUUUAUGCAUGAUAAGGUGGUUUUCCAAAGAAUGUGGUUCAUUCAUUCAUGUCAACAGAAAUCUAAGAUAAAAUUACAGUAUUAAAUUAUGCAUACUUUAGAUAUACAUUGUGUGCUAUGAAAUGUGUGUUAAAGUAAAGGGAACAGGUAUUUUUUGUUCCGUGGGAACGGAAGUUGCACAUCAAUGUUUUUCCCAAAGAUUUGGACAUGUUUUGUCUGAUAUAUCCACUGUAUCUUUAGCUUUUUAAAAUAAGUGGAAUUCUUGUAUCAGUUGAUUUCUUAGCUUUAUUAUAGUACAUAAUGCAAAUACUACUAGCACACAAUUAAUUACAUCUCUGCCUAAUUACACUUUGUAAUUUUUCCCUGCAAGUAUUUUACAUGCAGAGCUGUACUGGCACAUAUGCUAAUACAUAACAAAAGACAACCAUUACCUACAUCCUUAGAGCCACAUUGCAAAUGUCUACAGUACUGCCUGUAGGGUUUUAGGUACCCAUGGUAGCAUUUAAACACCAGAGAGCAGGGAGCAAUUCAAACCUGUUGCUGCCUUGGGCUGUGAACCCCUAAGUUCUUAUGCAGUCAGAAGAGUGAAAUAGCUACACCUACUCUCCUCUGACAGGUUGUACUCUCACACUGAUGAACCAGAGCCACACCCUAAAACAUCACAGGUGCUGCAGAGAUGCUCUCACUGUGGUGACUUGUUAGCAAUUGAAUAGGAAUUCUUAAUGUAAUGCAUUUUCAUGGAAAUACUUCUCUUAGUUAAAGAGUUAAAGAGCUCAUUUUUUCCACUUCGGUUAGGCAAGGUGCCAGGGGACGCUUCCAAGCAAAAGAUGAAGGGUAUACUAUAAACUCGUUUUAAUUGCAUUAUCAUACGCACCUUAGGCCACAAAAUAAAAAUUCAAAAUAAAAUUACAUUUGUUGUCUUCAGAUAGCUCUACAGGGAGAUCAAAAGGACAAAGGCCACAUCCAUUAACAACUAGUGUGGUGCAAAAUGGGGAGUGAAGUACCUCCCACUGUAAGUGAAGAGCAGGUUUGAGACCACUUGAUGAAACUGAAUAGCCACAAGUCCAUGGGGCCUGAUGAGAUGCUUCCCAGGGGCCUGAGGGAAGUGGCUGAUGUUGUUGCCAAGCCACUCUCCACCAUAUAUGAAAAAUCCUGGCAGUCAGGUGAAGUCCUCAGUGACUGAAAAGAGGGAAACACUGCUCCUAUU